rnacentral:pre_miRNA from 11 species
GGCUGUGCUGGGUGGAAAGGGCAGGGGGAGGUAAGCCCUCUUCCCCCUUCACCUCCCUCCCAGCGUUGCU